CCUACGGGAGGCAGCAGUGAGGAAUAUUGGUCAAUGGACGAGAGUCUGAACCAGCCAAGUCGCGUGAAGGAUGACUGCCCUAUGGGUUGUAAACUUCUUUUAUCAGGGAAUAAAAUGUUCCACGUGUGGGUUUUGGUAGGUACCUUAAGAAAAAGGAUCGACUAACUCCGUGCCAGCCGCCGCGGUAAUACGGAGGAUCCGAGCGUUAUCCGGGUUUAUUGGGGUUAAAGGGAGCGUAGGUGGAAUGUUAAAUCAGGUGUGAAAGAUUGGGGCUCAACCGUCGUAUUGCAGUUGAAACUGGCAGUCUUGAGUGGAGGAGAGGUAUGCGGAAUGCGUGGUGUAGCGGUGAAAUGCUUAGAGAUCACGAAGAACUCCGAUUGCGAAGGCAGCAUACUGGCGGCCAACUGACGCUGAGGCUCGAAAGCGUGGGUAUCGAACAGGAUUAGAUACCCGAGUAGUC
rnacentral:rRNA from 1 species